AGCGAACGCUGGCGGCAGGCCUAACACAUGCAAGUCGAACGAACCUUUCGGGGUUAGUGGCGGACGGGUGAGUAACACGUGGGAACGUGCCUUUAGGUUCGGAAUAACUCAGGGAAACUUGUGCUAAUACCGAAUGUGCCCUUCGGGGGAAAGAUUAAUCGCCUUUAGAGCGGCCCGCGUCUGAUUAGCUAGUUGGUUGAGGUAAUGGCUCACCAAGGCGACGAUCAGUAGCUGGUCUGAGAGGAUGAUCAGCCACAUUGGGACUGAGACACGGCCCAAACUCCUACGGGAGGCAGCAGUGGGGAAUCUUGCGCAAUGGGCGAAAGCCUGACGCAGCCAUGCCGCGUGAAUGAUGAAGGCCUUAGGAUUGUAAAAUUCUUUCACCGGGGACGAUAAUGACGGUACCCGGAGAAGAAGCCCCGGCUAACUUCGUG
rnacentral:rRNA from 1 species